AUGCAGUUUCUUUAUUUUUUACCCCAAUCAGAGCAGCCAGGAAUCACCAUCACAAUGACCUUUCUCCACAACGGAGGCAUAAAGCAUAGUCCGGACCAAACACAUCAAGCAGGAAUGAGUUGUAGUAGCAGUGCACAUGUGUUAAAUGUGUGUGUGUCAGCUGGACUGGUCCCAGCUGCACCGGGUCAUGGCACCAACUCGUAUAAGACUCAAACUCCUCCAGGCGAUUUGUCCCAGCCUGUUGCCAUAUGCAUCCUCCUCAUUCCCUGGGGUCCGUCCCACAUGGUGCCGUCGUGGCAUGCGGACGCAGAGGUUGUAGAGGACAUGCUGGCUUCUCUGGUCACGCUGAUAUUUGUGUCGCCUGCUGACAGUUGGCCUCACACACACACGCACAUAAAGUACAACAUGUUAAGCAAUUUCUAUUUAAAAAAGGCUGAUCAUGCUAAAUGUAUUAUGGUUUCUGCAGAUAUUAAGCAGCACAAGUGUUUUUUCAUAUUGAUAAUAAUCAGAAAUGUUUCUUGAACAGCAAAUCAGUAUAUUAGAAUGAUUUCUGAAGGAUCACGUGACCCUGACGGCUGAAGUAAUGAUGCUGAAAAUACAGCUUUAAUCACAGGAAUAAAUGACAAGUAGAAAACUGUUUUUUUAAAACAACAAUAAAAGCCUUGGUGAGACUUCUUUCAAAAACAAAUCAAAGACCCCAAUUUUUUGUAGUUUAGAUAAAUUAAUUUUAAAUAUAUUAUAUAUAUAUAUAUAUAUAUAUAUAUAUAUAUAUAAAUUAAAAAAUAUUGUCCUUUGGAGAAAUAAAAGCAGAUGUACA
ensembl:lncRNA